CGAAGGGUGCAAGCGUUGUUCGGAAUUACUGGGCGUAAAGCGUGCGUAGGCGGUUUAGUAAGUUGGAAGUGAAAUCCCGGGGCUUAACUCCGGAAUUGCUUUCAAAACUACUAAUCUAGAAUAUGGCAGGGGACAGUGGAAUUCCUAGUGUAGAGGUGAAAUUCGUAGAUAUUAGGAGGAACACCAGUGGCGAAAGCGACUGUCUGGACCAUUAUUGACGCUGAGGCACGAAAGCGUGGGGAGCAAACAGGAUUAGAUACCCUGGUAGUCCACGCCGUAAACGAUGGGUGCUAGAUAUUGGGGCUUAUGCUUCGGUGUCGUAGCUAACGCGUUAAGCACCCCGCCUGGGGAGUACGGUCGCAAGAUUA
rnacentral:rRNA from 1 species